rnacentral:rRNA from 1 species
GGGCUCACACAAGCGGUGGAGGAUGUGGCUUAAUUCGAGGCUACGCGAAGAACCUUAUCCUAGAUUUGACAUGCUUGAGAAUCCCUAUGAAAAUAGAGAGUGCCCUUCGGGGAGCUCUUGCACAGGUGCUGCAUGGCUGUCGUCAGCUCGUGUCGUGAGAUGUCGGGUUAAGUCCCUUAACGAGCGAAACCCUUAUCUCUAGUUGCCAGCGGGUAAUGCCGGGGACUCUAGAGAGACUGCCGGUGUCAAACCGGAGGAAGGUGGGGAUGACGUCAAGUCCUCAUGGCCUUUAUGUCUAGGGCUGCACACGUCCUACAAUGGUACGGACAAACGGACGCAAUACCGCGAGGUGGAGCAAAUCCUAGAAACCGUGCCUCAGUUCGGAUUGCAGGCUGCAACUCGCCUGCAUGAAGCCGGAAUCGCUAGUAAUCGC